rnacentral:lncRNA from 1 species
GAAGUGGCAACGAAGCAAUCCUAACUAAAUGGCUCUGAACCGUUGGUUUCUUCUAGUAGCGGUCUUUUACGCAAGACAAUGGAUUACUGCCACAUGCGACGAGCAAAAUUUUACAGAGGAGUAUGAUUACGAAGAUUCGUGGUGCGGGUAUAAUAUACUGUUAACAUCAGGGGGGCCGGUAUGUAUCUUUUUAUUCCAAUUUUCGUUGUCUGAAGACUUUUUUACAGCGUAAGCUGUUACACGCUAAUGCUAACAGCCGUUUCGGUUGGCGAUGGUGUCCGCUGCCACUGCCGCCACUGCCCGUGAUGUCCGGUGUUCGUAGCAGCUAUCGCC